GUGGGGAAUUUUGGACAAUGGGCGCAAGCCUGAUCCAGCCAUGCCGCGUGCAGGAUGAAGGCCUUCGGGUUGUAAACUGCUUUUGUACGGAACGAAAAGACUCUGGUUAAUACCUGGGGUCCAUGACGGUACCGUAAGAAUAAGCACCGGCUAACUACGUGCCAGCAGCCGCGGUAAUACGUAGGGUGCAAGCGUUAAUCGGAAUUACUGGGCGUAAAGCGUGCGCAGGCGGUUAUGUAAGACAGAUGUGAAAUCCCCGGGCUCAACCUGGGAACUGCAUUUGUGACUGCAUAGCUAGAGUACGGUAGAGGGGGAUGGAAUUCCGCGUGUAGCAGUGAAAUGCGUAGAUAUGCGGAGGAACACCGAUGGCGAAGGCAAUCCCCUGGACCUGUACUGACGCUCAUGCACGAAAGCGUGGGGAGCAAACAGGAUUAGAAACCCGGGUAGUCC
rnacentral:rRNA from 1 species